rnacentral:snoRNA from 1 species
UGGCGAUGAUGACCAUUUUAGGACACCUUUGGAGUUACACAUGAAACUAACAUUUUAAGCUGAGCCAU